UCGUUCACCGUCAGCGUGCCUUUCCAGUGACUGACAGGUGCGUUGUCCAAUAGCGUAUGGCAAAAGGGAGGUCAGCGAGUGACUGGUGCAAGAAGGUCGCCGGUUGGCUGGUUUGAAUGUAACAAAGUGACGCGGGUCCUUGCACGAAGGCAACAUAGACACAACCACAGUGGAUGCGCUCGCUUACGUAUGAUCGGGAAAGCGGAGACUGCGCUGCCGUUGUCUCGCCUCGGGGUCAUGCCAUCGAUUAAGUUUGAGAUAGGAAGUGACAGCGACACUGGGUGCCGAGAUCACAGGGCGAUGUUCCAAACUCUCUACAUUGGUAUGUCGUUUGGAGACAGCGGAACCAGAAGUAGUGCUGGAGAGCACACAACGCGAUCACAUGACGUCACCGGCACGACGCCCAGCAGGGAGUCCAUGCCUGCACGUUCACAGGGUGUUCAGCUAUGAAGGCGUUCCUCAUGGACAACAACACCAAAGGUAAAGAAGGCACCCUGGAAGCCGCCAGGGAAGGUGCAGGCAGUGCCAAUUAUUAGACUGCUGCCUCUAAAACCACAAAUAGAGAGGCCAACACUUCCUAAGACACCAACACCACCAACAGAAAGAAAGCCACCUUGGAGGUCAGCAGGGAAGGGACCAGUGAUGCCUCCAAAGGAAAAAGGAGUGGCUGGUGCCUCCAAAGCAGAAGGACAAGAGGACACUGGUGCCGCUAAAUGAAAAGAGGCCACCCUGGAAGCCAGCUGGCAAAAAUAUAGCACCUCUGAGGGCAAUGCCAGUAACAACCAAGAGAGUGCCCACCAAGAAGAGGCUGGUGGGAGAGGCAGAAGUCCCUAGUGGAAGAGCCAGUGACCCCACAGCUGAGAAUGAGGCAAGAGCUUCCACUGGAGUAGCCAGUACUCCCACCAUGGAUGAGGCAGUAGCCCCCACUGGAGAAAACAGUGCUGUCACGGGUAAGGCAGAAGCCCCCUGUGGAGAGACCAGAACCCCACCAGAGAAGCCGGCGCGGCCGCGGGUGAGGCAGGAGCCGCCGCGGGUGAGGCAGGAACCCCCGCGGGUGAGGCAGGAACCCCCGCGGGUGAGGCAGGAACCCCCGCCUCCGCGGGUGAGGCAGGAACCCCCGCGGCCGCGGGUGAGGCAGGAACCGCCGCGGGUGAGGCAGAAACAAAUUUUUUUUAAAGUACAGAGAGAGGGAUCCGAGUGGGCAUUUAUCACUGGUUACAACUCCCAACAUAAGGCCCUGGAGAAAUCAGUGAGACGAAAUUGGAAGAUCCUCAAAAAGGACCCUGUUUUGGGGAGAUCAUUACCUGAUUACCCCACUUUUAUCUAUAAAAAGGCCCCUAAUUUAAAGACCUCCCUGGUUAAUAGUUACAUACCCCCCAAGAAAAGAGAAGGUAGGGUUUUAACUCAGGGUUACCAUCGCUGUGGUAUGUGUAUCUGUUGUAGAGAAGUACCAAGCGAUGGGAUGAAAAAACUUGAAUCCGUGUGUAUUAAUGGAAAAAAUGUCAAAAUUAGGGAUUUUAUUACAUGUAAUGUCAAAAAUGUUAUUUAUUUUAUUGAGUGUAGAUGUCACCUCUUUUAUAUAGGCCGAACCACCAGACCCCUUAAAAUACGUUUAAGUGAACACUGCAGAAAUAUUAAGAAAAGUUUGGAGUCUCAUGCCCUGUCGAACCAUUUUAAAACUCACCAUAAGAGCUCUACAGGAGGAAUAGUUAGAUUUGGAGCCAUUAAGGUGGUGAAAUGUGGGCCGAGAUACCGGGACAUAGCUACCCUUUUAGCUAAAAGUGAGAUGCAGUUUAUUUAUGAAUUUAACACUUUACACCCUAUGGGUCUUAAUAAUGAUUUUGAACUGAAGUGGUUCAUGUAGGGUUUUUAAUUUAGUUUGUUUUACAUCAGCUAUUGUAUUUUAGAUUGUGUGUUUUAUUUUAUGUAUUUUUCCAUUUUAGAAUCAUUAUACAACUUUGCUAACUGCAUAUAACUGGGACCACCAGAUGUAUAUGCUGGAUGAAUGUUUCUAAUUGUAAGGGACCAAAACUGAACACUCGUAGCCUGUCUAUAACGGGUUUGUUGAUAGCGUAACCAUGGCAGUGUAUACUGGAACUUGGAGACAACAAAAGACGCGCUUCCGAGAGAGACGGGCCGUGCGGCUAGUUACUAUGACAACUUGACCGAGGGCGCAGGAGGAGCUUUCGGUUACUAUGGGAACCCGGCGGCGUAUACACGCAAUGACAGGUGAAACCUGUUAAGAAGGUGUUUGUGAUUGGCUACAGAAGCAUUUAAAAUCCGGAUGGUGUGUGUGCAGCAAAUAUCCAGCCUUGAGAAAGACUCCAGGAACAGGAGUUGAAACGCAUUGGCGUAUUCCAUCUGUGGUCAGCGCCUAUGGUGGUCUGCUUUUUCAAAAACCAGAGGAUCUUCCAGCUCCUGCCCGGGGUGGACUUUGGAAAUUAAAGACCUUGUUUGAGAACUCUUUUGGGUUCUCGGACUCUCUGGUAAUUGUUCUACAUAUCUUCUUGUGGCUGUCACACCUGGAAAAUUGUUAUUAUUCUGCACAUUUAUUGUGACCCUGUAUUGUUAUUGUCCAUGUCCCUUGUAUGUGUGUAUAUGUUAUUAAAUUACUGUACUGCA